AUUGAACGCUGGCGGCAUGCUUUACACAUGCAAGUCGAACGGCAGCGGGGGCUUCGGUCCGCCGGCGAGUGGCGAACGGGUGAGUAAUGCAUCGGAACGUGCCCAGUCGUGGGGGAUAACACAUCGAAAGAUGUGCUAAUACCGCAUACGUCCUGAGGGAGAAAGCGGGGGAUCUUCGGACCUCGCGCGAUUGGAGCGGCCGAUGUCGGAUUAGCUAGUUGGUGAGGUAAAGGCUCACCAAGGCGACGAUCUGUAGCGGGUCUGAGAGGAUGAUCCGCCACACUGGGACUGAGACACGGCCCAGACUCCUACGGGUGGCAGCAGUGAGGAAUAUUGGUCAAUGGGCGAAAGCCCGAACCAGCAACGCCGCGUGGAGGAUGAAGGUUUUCGGACUGUAAACUUCUUUUCGGGGAGACGAGAAAGGACGGUAUCCCCGGAAUAAGCCACGGCAAACUACGUGCCAGCAGCCGCGGUAAGUACGCAGCGA
rnacentral:rRNA from 1 species